UACGUAGGGCGCAAGCGUUGUCCGGAAUUAUUGGGCGUAAAGAGCUCGUAGGCGGUUUGUCGCGUCUGCUGUGAAAACCUAAGGCUCAACCUUGGGCUUGCAGUGGGUACGGGCAGACUAGAGUGCGGUAGGGGUGACUGGAAUUCCUGGUGUAGCGGUGGAAUGCGCAGAUAUCAGGAGGAACACCGAUGGCGAAGGCAGGUCACUGGGCCGCAACUGACGCUGGAGGAGCGAAAGCAUGGGGAGCGAACAGG
rnacentral:rRNA from 1 species